GAAGAGGGAUCAAUUACAAUGUUUUCUUUAUUUUAAGGAGUCAAAAUCAGAUUUAUUUUUUAACUUAUUUUUACCAAAUAUAAGAGUAGCUAAAUAAGACAAGGAUCAUCAAUUAUAAAACGGUAAGCCAAGAGCAAUGACCGGCACAUAAAAGUAUUAAUUUUCUAAGUCAAAUAACCACCUAAUACUAAAUUACCAUAAAUAAACAAGUAAGAAUCUAUUUUGGACAAGAAUUAAGGGAGGAGGGGUCAAUAAUAUAGUAGAAGAGGGGCACAUAUAAGGGAAAUAAAUAAUUUAAGGAAUCCAUUAAUAUGACAUUUUCCUUAUUUCAAAGGAGAGCCCAAAGUUUUCACAAAAUUAUUUUUUGACCAAAUAUAAAACAAGUAAGAAAUCGGAUUACUAUAAUUAAGAANNN
rnacentral:lncRNA from 1 species